AUGUGUAUUAGAUUAUAGAUGGUAAGCUCAGUUUCUUUUCUUUUUUCAUCAAAUCUGAAUGAUACCCGGUCCCUAGUGUUUAUUGAUAUUUGUAUAUUUAUAUACAUCCAUUGACUAACUUUGUAUGUAAACUUUAUUAAAUAUGAUAAUGAUAAAAUAUAUGAAUUAAAUGUUGUUCAGUGGUUAAAAGAAUAUGAUAUAAAUGAGCCUGGUGUUAAAGUUACAAUUUCAUAUUUUUAAGUUUAAAAUGUAUUAAAAUAAAGCCCUAAAAUAGAGGGUAUCUAUAAACAGUCCUACCUUGUUAAAGAAUAAUCCUAUUAAUCCUAUAAUUCACUAUUGCCAGUUGAGAAAUUGGCAAAAAUAUCAUUUUCAACAUUAAAUUCAAACGUUUGAAGAUAGCUAUUCCAUGGUGGGGAAUAGGAAAACAAGGGAGGUAAUUGUGUUAUUAUUUCCGGUGUAAAUGAGUUUUAAGUGUGAGAAUGUCACCUAUGAUCGUAUAAUAGUGAGUUGACAACCUAUAGAGCAAAAGACAUAGAAAUAAUUAUGUUUUGACUUUCUUAGAAAAUAUGAAAUUGUAACUUUAACAUAUAUUAUGUUAAUAAAUUCCGAAGUAGUAUAUCCAUAUAAGUGUUUUUAAUUUGUGAAAUCUUAUUCUAUUAUGUCUUAUAAGAAUUAUGAAAUAUACUUGAUAAUAUUUUUAACACUGAACAUUUAAGUCAACGAAAUAAGUAAAUACUCAGACCAAACCCUUGCCCCCUCACUUUAUUUUUACUUAAAGAUACAUUCUGUACGAUUUAGAUAAAGAGCUGACCAUUUUUACUAUAAUGGCUCAAAAAUAGAAAAUAUUGAAAAUUUCAUUCAAAUUACUUCAUUCUGAGCCAAGUUAUCUCUGUUUGUAGUUUUGACCAGAUGUGUGCAUUGUGGUAACCAGGGCACUGGUAUAUUCGAGACUUAGCCUCGCUUUCCCAUUUUUAAAUUAAAUUUGAGUAUCGGACGCCAUCGAAGGUUGAUUAAGGUCUUGUUUUGUUAAUAUGAAGAGCCCAGGGGAAGAACGAACUAAGUCACAUUAUUGUAGUUUCGCAUAAAAUAUGUAAAUUUUUGCGUGGAAUAAGCCGUAAAAAGAUAGAUAUUUCCGAAAAAUGCACAUGACGAUUAGCGACAUUAUUUGAAUGAUGGUUCCAUUGAAUGUAACUACGAGCGUAUGUAAGGGGGUAUGAACUUUAUAUUAAGAGAUUGGACUUGUGACACAGUUACACACUGACAAUAAAAGUUCAAUAGCCAAGACUGUGUAGUAAUAUCGGACUUCUUCGGUAUUCCUCGUUCUCAAUAAAGUAUGGAUGAUAGCUGCUCGGAAUAUCUGGGUGAGAUCUGAUGAAUUUCGCCAAAGACCCUGUUUUAUAACCCACUUAACUAACUUCUGUACAUCAUAGACCGACCUUGAUGUUAAUUUCCUUCCCAAAUAUGAAAUAAACAACCCCAUUCUCCAAAGACCUUAUUUGGUCUACCAAACACACGUCAUAAAUAAGUUUGUAUUUGAUGGAUAUUUUGACAACGGUAAUGAUUUUACCAAAAUAUCACUGUUUUUUUAUAUAUAAAUAUAUCACUCAAUUCAUUACGUACGUGACUGUGAUUUGACUCUAUAUAAUCAGUUAAAGAUACAAUAUGGUCGCAAGGACCAUAGUAUUACAGAGAGAGAGAUAGAGAGAAAUUGGGUUUGACGUCCACUCGACACAAACUAGGUCAUUUCGGGACUAACAUAUGGUUUAAUUUUAUCUCAAUAAUUCGCUUGCGCAUAGGGGUCUUUAGCAGUGGGAGGAAACCGGAGGACCUGGAGAAAACCCACGAGGUUGGACAGGCGACCCUACUCCUUGUCACGUACAACCGGAGAUUCGAAUCCACGCCAGUCGACUCAAUGACAGACUUUAUGAUACAGCGCGCGCACGCUAACCAUUCAGCCACCCCACCUCCCUCCAUAGUAUUACAACUGUGUGACUUAAGACUUGGGCUAUAAUAUAUACAAUUUUAACAACCUGACCUUCAGGGUCAAUAUAUUUAUCUUAACUAACUUGAAUUUUAACAAACAUUCAGCCCAGGGUAAAAUAUCUAUAGCUGAAUAAAUAUCUAGCCAAUUAAAGAUACAUUAGUUAAGAGUUUUAUAAUGAGUUGGCCAUUCUUGCUAUAAUAAUUCAAAAAUAGAUGAUACAAAAGAAAAUGUUGAAAAUGUCAGUCAAAUUACUUUGUUCUAAACGGAAUUGUCACUUUUGGAAGUUUGGACUACAGAGUGAUUUUGAGCUUGUCGUGUAAAUAAAAAGUCUAAUUAAUAAUUUCUAUAACAUCUGAUUAAGCCUAAAUAAAGACUUGCAAUAGGCAGAUUUAACUCUUGCAUAAUAUAUGUUUAAAUUGGGUAGCUUUUUUAAAAAUAAAAGAAAAAUGGAAUGUGUUGUCAGCAUAUUUUUGUUGUACCAAAGGCUAGUCAUGAAAGGGUACACUUUACGUUUCACACAACAUUUUAAAAAUGAAAUUGAAAGUUGUAUACCGAUUUUGGGCUCGAAAUUGAGACUGUACUACUGAUUGUAUUGGGUGGUAUAUUGUCGCCUCCCCUGUCCGUCCAUCGACCCUCCCGUCUUCCACAAUUACCAAUGCACACUCUAGGGGCUAAUGUAUACAGUGUUUAUGGUCAUGCGACGAAAAAUCAUUAUUAUUGAUUUGCAAUGAUUUGAUUAUUGAUUUACUAUGAUUAUUGAUUUACAAUGAUUAUUGAUUUACAUUGAUUAUUUCAUUGCUUGUUAACUCUUGAGUAGAACAUGUACAACUGGCUUUUUUAACAGUCGUAUGGGAUCGCAAGACCACUUAUGUUGCAAUGAAAUGAAAUGAAAUAGGGGUUUAACGUCCUACUGUUCUGCUCCGACUGGGCUAAUGAGGACGGGCAUAACCCAUACAGUGUGCUAUGAGGGAAAUUUUGCCCGGACAGCGGCACUAUGGCCAAGGCAUAUUUUACGUGCACGCCAAUGUAUACAUGGGACCUCGGUCUCUCAGUUGCACCAAACCCAAUCGCACACAGUCGCAUCGCGCAAGGGCGACAUACCGCCCCACUCCCCCACUUUAAUGUCUUAUCAGUGAUUGCUCCCAUCGCCUCCAAAAGAAUAUAUUUACGACAAACUUUUUAGACUGCCCGGGCGAAUUAGCUGCCGUUGAAGUUUUUUUCGUUUCUUAUAUAUGAAAUUUCAUUUAUAACAUUGAAAUUAAAACGAAAUAUUAUCUGAGAUUAAUUUAUUAUAUGAAUGUGUGACUAUGUGGCCCUAAAACAGCAAGGAUUUUAUGUUAAAGAAUUCCAUUUUUGGGGUUACAGUAAAGAGAUGGUAGAUUCCAGUAGAAUAUACACAAUAGAAUUAAAAAUUGGAUCACAUUUUCGUUUCGUUAAAUUUUCUGAAACGAAAUGUUUCUAAACAGGGGCCUGUUUCACGAAAUCUUAACUAAAGAUAAAAUCUAAAUUUUAGUAGAUACUUCAAUUUUGAUUGGCUAAGGACUAAAAUCAAUUUAAUAUUAUCCAAUCAAAUUACUAAAAUUUCGUGAAACAGGCCCCAGAAAGGUAAUUGACAUCUGAUUUUAAUAAGAUUGAUAUUUAGCUGGUGUAUAUUUAUUAUUUGAAUUUGGGUGCAUAUAAUAACACCAUGUGGUGUCUAGAAUCAUUUAUAAUACAUGAUCAUUACUGUUAUAUUAAAAAUUCAUGCAUACGA